rnacentral:lncRNA from 1 species
AAAGUCACUGUUAAUGAAUAUAGUAUAAUAUUGUAUAAUUCGUAUUUAAAAAAAAACGUGUAUGUAUAAAUAUAUGCAUGUACAAGUGGAAAAAAUAUACGCCUGUGAAUAUACUUUUACAUAAGUAAAUAAUUUUACAUAUUUGUAUAUAUACAUAUGCUUAUACAUAUAAUAGUCAUAUAAUAAAAAAAGGCGAAAGAUAACAAAGGAACGGAUAAACAAACAAAUAAAUAAACAAAUAAAUAAAUAAACAAAUAAACAAAUAAAUAAAUAAACAAAUAAACAAAUAAAUGAAGUUAAUGAUUAGAAAACAUUAAUGAAAAAAACAAAUAUGAUAAAUAAAUCUAAUAGCCUAUUAAGCAAAGAAUAUGAAAGCCCAAAACAAUGUAAUGAUGAUAAUGAUGAUGAAAACAGAAAAGUAAAAGUUACUGAGCAUUCAAAGGAAAAAAAAAGAAAAACAACAAAAGAAAUGGAUAUAUCUCAUAAUCACAAAAAAAAAAGAGAUUUAAAAAUAAACGAAGACAACAAAUAUAUCCGCUGUAAAAGUAAUAGCAAAAGCAGUAGUGAAAAGAGUAAUAAAAAAUGUAGUAUAAACAACGAAACAAAGAAAAUUGAUGUUUUUCAUACGCACAAUGAUAACAAACAUAUAUUGGAGGAAAAGUCACACGACAUAAAUUAUUUAGAUCAUAAACAAAAUAACAAAAACAAAAAAAAAAUGAAAAAAAGUACAUCAUAUGAUAAAUAUACUAAAAAUAAUAAAGAAAACAGAUAUUCAAAUAUUAAAUCAAAAAAUGAGAAUGAUGAAUAUACACAUGUGAAGAAUAAAAAAAAAAAAGGUUACAACAGUAAGUAUAGGAAAAAGGCUACUUCACACUCUGUUUCGACCAAUUCCUCCAAAAGCUGUAGUAGUAAUGNNNNNNNNNNUAGUGACAGUAGUAGUGACAGUAGUAGUGACAGUAGUAGUGACAGUACCAAUGUAAGAAGCAGUCAACAUUCACCCAAUAAUAACAAAAUCAACACCAAAGAAACAAAAAAAGAUAAAACAAAAAAAGAUAAAAUAAAAAAAAAUAAAAUAAAAAAAAAUAAAAUAAAAAAAAAUAAAGAAUCAGAAGAAACUCGAGAAUUUGAUGUUCACAUUUAUGACAAUAAAGAAAUGAUUAGGCUGACUAUAAAUCUUCUACAACAUUAUAACUUUUUAAACAAUUUAAAAAUAUUAUAUAAAAAACUGGAUAAUAAUAAAAAAAUAUCACUUGAAAGUAUAAAAGACUUAAAAUUAAAAAAAAAAUUGAGGCAUUUAUUUAGAGCUUGGAAGUUAGAAAGAAAAGAUGAUUUUUAUAAAAAACCGUUAAAUUUUAAAGAAAGUAUUUAUGAAAUUUUUAAUGAUUUAAUGUAUUAUUUUUUAUCUAAAAUUGAUAUUAAACAGUUAAAAUAUAAUAUCGAAAAAAGAAAAGCUAAUUUAUUAAAAAAAACAAAUUAUGAUGAUACCUAUAGUGAGGAUAAUAACAAUCAUAAGAAAGGUAAUCAUAUACGUAACUCUAGUAAUAACUCUUUCAGUAAAUUACAAACCGAAUAUACAUAUGAUACAAGUUUCGAACAAAAAAAAAAUGAAAAAAUUAAAAGUUUAAGAGAAUUACAUGAACAAGGAUAUUAUAAAGAUAGUCAAAAGGAGUAUAAAGACUUUUUAGAAAAACAUAAAAAAAUUGAUUUAUGGGGAAAAAAUGAACAACAACAAAAAUUUUUAAUAAAUUCUAAAAAUUUGCCUGGCGAAAGAAAAACAUUUGAUAGAGAUACCGAUCUAUCUAUAAAUACUUUUGUAAACAAAAAUGAUUAUAAAAAUUUGAUUAAAAAAACAAAAGAUCAUGUUGAUGAUAAAUUUCAUAAGACCGCUGAUAAUGUUUAAAAAAACCAAAGCUUUUUAUAAAUAUUUUAUUAAAAUUAUAUAUUAUUAAAUAUUUGACAAACUUUUUUUUUCAUACUUUUUUUUGUAUACGCACAUAUAUAUAUAUAUGUCAUAAUGUGUUACUUUAUUUA